rnacentral:rRNA from 1 species
CUGGCUCAGGAAGAACGAGGGCGGCGUGCCUAACACAUGCAAGUCGAGCGAAGUUUUCAAAGUAGAUUUCUUCGGAAUGAAACUUUGAUUAUCUUAGCGGCGGACGGGUGAGUAACGCGUGAGAAACCUGCCUUUCACAAAGGGAUAGCCUCGGGAAACUGGGAUUAAUACCUUAUGACACUAAUCUUUCGCAUGGAAGAAUAGUUAAAGCGUAAAGCGGUGAAAGAUGGUCUCGCGUCCCAUUAGUUAGUUGGUGAGGUAAUGGCUCACCAAGACCGCGAUGGGUAGCCGGCCUGAGAGGGUGAACGGCCACACUGGAACUGAGACACGGUCCAGACUUCUACGGGAGGCAGCAGUGGGGAAUAUUGCACAAUGGAGGAAACUCUGAUGCAGCGACGCCGCGUGAACGAUGAAGGCCUUCGGGUCGUAAAGUUCUGUCCUAGGGGACGAUAAUGACGGUACCCUAGGAGGAAGCCCCGGCUAACUACGUGCCAGCAGCCGCGGUAAUACGUAGGGGGCAAGCGUUGUCCGGAUUUAUUGGGCGUAAAGGGUGCGUAGGCGGCCUUUUAAGUCAGAUGUGAAAGAUCACGGCUCAACCGUGGUAAGCAUUUGAAACUGGAAGG